rnacentral:misc_RNA from 1 species
CAUUUUCAAUCUCAAAACGACGGAUCCUUAAUGUGAUAAACCGGGGAGAUGAAUCAUGGCUGAAAAGGCGCUUGAAGUUGAACCAUGGCAAAUUACCUUUUAGAAGCCAAGGAAGCAUGCUCUGUUUCCUGUGAAGACUAACCCUUAAAGGGCCUUUCUCUACACAGGGGAUAUAGGGUUUCCCGAUCCAAUCAGAUUUCAAAAACUCUAUUAAACAAUUAAGCAGAAAGCACAAAUAAGUUUUUUUUACGUGUAGAAAGUAUUCUUUUUUUUUUUUUUUUGCCCUCUUUAAUUUUGGAAUAUUGUUCAUGGAUCGUCUCCGUCCUAGACAGAGACUGCUAUUUUCUGGCUUCUCAAAGGCUGAGGUUUUCCCCCCAUUUUUUGCCCUUUUGUUUUCUAUAUGUCGAUUCUUUAUCUGGGUAUUCUUUAAUUUUUCUGUCUAUGCCCAAAUGUGAUAGAUUUCUUGACCUUAAUUAUGGUUCUGAUACUUGUAGGUUUUUGCACAGUUGUUGGAAUGUUUUGAUUUUUACAUUUUCAUUAGCUAUAUUGCCUCCGUGCGAGUGUGUUUUCUUUUCUUUUCUUUGCUUUUUUUAAUUUUUUUGAUAAUGCGGUGUGUGGCUGGCUUGUGAUUUCUAUACCAUAAACUAUAACAGUCUCAAUCGCAAGUAUAGGUACUUAACCAAGAUUAUGGUAAAGAAAUGAAAGUUUAGCUAUUAAUUUCAAUUGGGUUUUCACAAAUUCCAUUGGGAUUAUUAGAUUUCAUGUUAUCUGAUGUGAAAGUUUUCUUAGUUUGUUGAUUUUAGUACCCUGAAUUGAAGCUCCUGAUAAGAACAAAAUUAGGAUUGCUGUAAUUAUUUCCAAACAUGAAUUAUUUGCUCAUAAUGUCAGUUCACUUAUUUGAGUUGUGUAUUGUGUUUGGUUACGCUAUAUUGGUUUUUGCGUUUUUAUGAUGCACUGUAUAAUGAUUCCUAAAACUCCCUUUGUUUGUAAUUGUAUGAUGUCAUAAAUGUUGCAUUAGAAUGAUGCAAAAUCUAUUCUUUCAGCUAUUGGCAAAUGGCAAGGUUCAACUUCAAUCCUAUAAAUUUCUGAUGAUCUAAGUUUUCAAAAUUAUUGUCUUUAUUUAUUUGCUAAUGUUUCACGCAAUGAUUGAUAAAUUGUUUUCUCUCAAUCGAGGAAACAGAUAGAGAAAAUGGAGAAAUUGCUAAAGGAAUCAAGGCAACCAAUGAACAAGGAAUUUUUUCAAAAAAUCGCAAGAGGUUUCAAGUGAGUUGGUUUCACGUGCAUCUUCGCAUAAUUAUGGAUAGAUUAAAUCACUUGGUUAGCUUAGAUCAUAGUUACUGGGGCCCUUUGACCUACUCUGAGCUGCAUUCUAUCUGAUUUAUGAUGAUGCUCUAGAUACCCAGAAUUUGAGAUCCUAUGUUUCUUUUAUUAGUUUUGAAACAUUCAUUUCUAGUCCUAUGAAGUUGGGGUACUAUUCUUAAAGAAGUUGGAAAAUAAAUUACAGUUUCUAUUCAAGACUAAGAAGAGAAUGAGAGUCACUUUUGUCCAUCCUAUUCUAACCAAAAUUAGGAUUCAAAAUUUACUAGCAAAUGAACUCUUUCUUUCUUAAUUAUAUAGCCUGAUUUGAUAUACUAUUUCUAAGACUUGGUAUCUCUUAAUUUUAUAUAUGUGUUUGCUCAUAUGGACGUUAUAUGCAUAUAAAAACUUAUAUUGAAAAACUCCAAAACUCACCACCAAAAUAUGUCAAUUCCGUAUCUGUUUCAUUAUUAAAUAUGUACAACAUGCUGCAUAACAGAGAUACAUAUGCAAUGCUCAUGUUGUGCAAAUCACUGUUUGGGCUUUACAACCUCUUGUUUACACUUGUCAUUUGCUUGCAGUUACUCUUCUGCCCGUGCUGGCAAACCUAUUGUUAGAUGGACUGAGGUUUUGCAUUUUCACAUGACUCUUUCCUUCUUUAUAUGGCUGUUAUUACUGAUUCAUUCCUGCAUGAGGGCCUUUGUCACUUGUGUCCAUCUCAUAACUCUCUUAUUCUCACAAUACAUGUCUUAGGUACAAUGUUGGUUCCAAAAUAGGCAAGAGGAUUGCCCAUCCAAGGUGGCUUCUUCAACUGAUGCUUCAAAAGAUGUUCCUUCUUGCCCAAAAAGUAGUCCUUCAAAUGAGGCAAAAGAAAGUUCUCAAAUGCCUAAAGGUGUUUUCUUUUCUUCAUAUUUUGAUAUCGAUAUGAAGUGCUGCAAUACCUGAAAAACUACCAAAUAUUUACUAGUCUUUUUUGGAUUAAUUAGAUGCUUGUAGUUGGUAUCAUUUAGCUUAAUUUAAUUUGUUAACUACUGAGGCUUAUUCCUCACCACUACUUGAUCUAUUUUUAUUUGGUUUUCGUAUGCAAUCUUAUUUGUGGUUUUUUACAAUAUGAGCUGCCUGCAAAUGAAAGAAACACUCUGGUAACAUGGUUGAUUUCCUUGUUUCUAGCAUCUCUACUUAUUUUUCAAGUAAAUGUUUGCAUUAAUCAAAAUAAUUCGCUGAAAUAAAGAUAAAUAUUGCAACUUUUUAACAUGUCAUCAGAGUUUUUGGAAAUGCUGUUAUAAAGUUCAGAACAUUAAUAAUUAUGAAUCUUGUGUUAUGCCUUUGAUUUGCAGUUUACGCUUGUGUAGAUUGAGUAAAAGUAAUAUUGUUAUGGCUUGGAUAAACAGUAACUGUGAAUUUUUUUUCAAUUGAAAGUUUUGGUAGAUAAGCAACAAGAAAAGAAAAUGUUUUAAAAUGAAAAUUUUUUAUUUGCAUCCCUUUUAUCCUAUUUUCUUUAUCAGUUCUUAUUUAACCGCAAAAUUAAUUUUCGAAGGUAUUUCAUAAAUGUUAACUGUUUAUGCCUUGGUAGCCAGAAUGUCUUCCUGUGUUUCUCGGCGCUUCAUGUCUGCUUUUGCUUCUCUAUCAGAAUCCACAAUAUUCUGGAGAAUGAUUUUAUUUUCUAAUUGCUAACAAUGUUUGUUCAAAAGCAGGAGAGAGAGUCCCAGAUCUAUCUGAGUUGGAAUUUGAAGCUAGAUCAUCAAAAGAUGGGGCAUGGUAAGCAUACAUGUAAAAAAUUUCUGGAUCUGGUUCCUUAGUUUUCCCAUUUGAUCUUUGAACACCUUUAAUUUAAUGGAGCAUGGUGUUGCUAAAAAUACUUUUGAACAUCUUGCCUUGCCUGGGCCAUGUGUUUUCAAUUUUAGCACAAACUGCUGAAGUGUACUAAACUUGUGUCCUUGAAGAUGGACUUUGUUCCGGUUUGGAUUACGUCGUGAUUGUUUGAGUAUGCAUUUUAUGAUUACCUAGAUGUUUUUGAUGGAAAUGUUGCUUGCUUCAUCUACUGCGAGUGGAUGUCCAAAGCUCAUGUCUAGCAUUCUCUUUUCGCUUUGCAGGUACGAUGUUGAUAUGUUCCUCUGUCACAGAUUCCUUCCAUCUGGUGAAGCUGAAGUUCACGUUAGAUUUGUUGGAUUUGGAGCUGAGGAGGAUGAAUGGGUCAACGUAAAAAAUGCAGUGCGAGAACGCUCCGUGCCGCUUGAGCAUUCAGAAUGUCAUAAGGUGCAAGUUGGAGAUCUCGUAUGCUGCUUCCAGGAAAGGAGAGAUCAAGCCAUAUAUUAUGAUGCUCAUGUUAUAGAUAUUCAAAGGAGAAUGCAUGACAUAAGAGGCUGCAGGUGCCUUUUUUUGAUUCGAUAUGAUCAUGACAACACUGAGGAAAGAGUCCGUUUGAGAAGAUUAUGUUGCAGGCCACCAUAUUAGGCAAAUUUGCCCCCAAUGAUUAGCCCAAUUUUGCCUUUUAGUUAUGUCGUGGGCUAGGUUGGCAUGGGAAGCCUCAAAAAGUUUAUUUACUUUGUUCACCGUGUUAUCGUUCACUGUUCAUAUUUUGACUCGGCUACAAUUUAAGUUUUGAUAAGAUUUAAUACACAUCAGAAAUGUUAUGCUGUUGUAAUUACUAAUUACAUGAUAAAAUUUAAGCUCUGGUAAAAUGGUGUUAUGUCAGAGCCUAAGUUCAUGAAAAAUCGACAGAACCGAAACAGUUGUACUAAAAAAUCACAAAUUCACACCAUGGCUUUGCCAUAACCCAUUACUCAUUGUUGGCAAGUGAAUUGCUCAGACCAAUAUAAGCACAAUGAUAAGAUGGAAAACCUGUUGCCAAUAGAGAUGGGAUGAGUGCUCACACACGCAUGCUGGCCAAGUCGGAACCGAUAACAGUUUCUGAAAAAUUUCACGCAGCAGUUUGAGAACCAAUACCUUGAACCUCCUAUUUUUGGGAGCCAAUUUCCACUAAAGGUUGUACUGUGUUCAUAAAUAUCAUUUGCUAUACUUCACUGAUUAACCCGAGUAUACGACUACUGGCUCUGUGCCUAAAGAAGUAUACUGCUUCAGAGAUCGCAAAACUUCUAGUCUGCACCAGCUGAAUGUGUCACUUCUCCCCAUUCAGUGUGAAAACAUUUCCAAGCAAUCCAGGCUGAACACUUUUAAGCCAAAUGAAUGUGAUGCGGUAGCUGAAAAUAUAAGUAAUUUGAUCAAUGCUAUACGCCCAGUGCUUAGCAAGUAAAAGAUAGAUUGGCCUCUCAUCAUCACAAAAGCAAUGUAGGUUGGUCCCAGUAUCACAAAUUUUUACAGCAAGUAGGCCUUGCCAACAACAUUUCCGCCUUGAAGAUCUUGACCAGAAAAUAUUAACAAUUUAACCAGUGAUCCUAUCACACACCAAAUUCUAAUAUGCUCAUAUUACCAUGC